rnacentral:rRNA from 1 species
AUACGGAGGAUCCGAGCGUUAUCCGGAUUUAUUGGGUUUAAAGGGAGCGUAGGUGGAUUGUUAAGUCAGUUGUGAAAGUUUGCGGCUCAACCGUAAAAUUGCAGUUGAAACUGGCAGUCUUGAGUACAGUAGAGGUGGGCGGAAUUCGUGGUGUAGCUGUGAAAUGCUUAGAUAUCACGAAGAACUCCGAUUGCGAAGGCAGCUCACUAGACUGUUACUGACACUGAUGCUCGAAAGUGUGGGUAUCAAACAGGAUUAGAUACCCUGGUAGUCCACACAGUAAACGAUGAAUACUCGCUGUUUGCGAUAUACAGUAAGCGGCCAAGCGAAAGCAUUAAGUAUUCCACCUGGGGAGUACGCCGGCAACGGUGAAACUCAAAUGAAUUGACGGGG